UUAAUUCAAGUUGUUCUUCUCAAUGCAACUUUUCCAAUUCCCAUACAUCUAAUCACCAAUAUCAUUUAUUAAAUUCAGUUUUCGAUGUACUUUUAAUGUUUGUAAAAAAUAUCCAAAACUCAAAAGUUCAAAAUCUCUCCACUCUCUGUGGCCAUGUCUUUCAUUAACUAUGGCAAGGAGUGGUUCUCGCUAGAAUACUCUUAUGGCUUCUUUCUUCUUCAUACCUCAAUCUUACUCUCAAUCUUUAAUCUUUCUUUCAACCUUUGGUUACUCACUAUGUUCAAAUCGGAACCCCAAUUCUCCUUCAGAUCCAGAGUUACGAAGCUGGAUUCUUUGACGCUCUUUUUUCUGGGUUAUUUCUGGUGCUCAUGGGGUUAUUGGAAUUGAGUUUAUUUGAUGGCGUUUUGUGAUUAUAUAGGGAACUGCAUAAAAGGUAUGUAAUUGUGUGUUUGUUUUUAUGUUCAUUGGAAUCUAAAUUUGUUUCAGUUUAAUCCUUUGUUUAGUUAUAUGUUGUGUUUGAUGUUUGUGUACUCAAGGUGUUUGUUAUUUUGUCAAACAGUGUGUAGGAUGUGGUUUCCGCACCCAGACCUGCUAACUUCUACAAAAGCUUGAAUUCUAUUCUUGGUCUAAUUGAAUUUUAUUCAGUCUUCAUUUUAUUAUCGUAAAUUUGUAUCUCUGAUUUGCUUGAUCACUGAAAUAAAUCUGCAGGCAAGAGAUAGUUCUAUUGGAUAAUGAAAUAUCCUUCAACGAGGCCAUGAUUGAAGAAAGAGAUCAGGGUCUUAGAGAGAUAGAAUAGAAAAUUGGAGAAACAAAUGAAAUAUUCAAGGAUCUUGCCGUUUUGGUUCAUGAUCAGGGGAUUGUUAUUGAUGACAUUCAAUCAAAUAUAGAUACUUCUGCUGGUGCAACGGCUCAAGGUAAUGUCCAACUAGCCAAAGCUUCCAAAAGUGUGAAAUCCAAAAAUAAAUGGAUGAGUCAUAAAUACUCUAAUAUAAUGCUGGACACAUUUUUUACUUCCUCAUUAUUACAUUUUCAAGAUUGAUUUAAAUUUUGAUGAAUCUCCUCAUAUUUUAUUGUUGUCUAAAUAUGUUGCAAACUUGGAGUGUGAAGUGUGUUUGUUUGGACCCAAAAAAAUGGGUUUAAAGAGUGUAUUGCUGCCUUUUCAAGUCCAGUAGCCAACAAUUUGGUGUGUUAAGUGAACAUUAGGAAGUGGAAGUUGAAAGAAAUGACUUUAUGUGAAUCAA